CUUUCGCCCUGGGCCGGCUCUGUCUCUCCUGAUUCUCCAAAGGAAGGGUGCUCAGGCCUAAAUUCCUAAACAAGCAUGUGGAGCAUCCAGCACUAGAUAAAAAUCCUGUCAAAGAGUUGAUCAUUGUCUGAUUUCUCAGAGAAGAAGGACUUUGUUGCUACAAUGCCAAUGAGUCCCGGCCUUAACGGCCGGAAAGAUGGUGGUCCUGGCACCUCUAAUUGCUCUGGUGUAUUCUGUGCCGCGACUUUCACGAUGGCUGGCCCAACCUUACUACCUUCUGUUGGCCCUGCCCUCUGCUGCCUUCCUACUCAUCAGGAAACUGCCACUGCUCUGCAAUGGUCUGCCCACCCAACGCAAAGACAGCAACCCAUGUGACUUUGACUGGAGAGAAGUGGAGAUCCUGAUGCUUCUCAGUGCCGUUGUAAUGAUGAAGAACUGCAGAUCCAUCACCGUGGAGCAAUAGAUAGGCAACAUUUUCAUGUUUAGUAAAGUGGCCCAUGCAAUUCUUUUCUUCCGCUUGGAUAUUCGCAUGGGCCUUCCUUACAUCACACUCUGCAUAGUGUUCCUGGUGAUGUGCAAACCCCCACUAUAUAUGGGCCCUGAGAAUAUCAAAUACUUCAAUGCUAAAACCGUUGAUGAGGAACUAGAAUGGGACAAGAGAGUCACUUGGAUUGUGGAGUUCUUUGCCAAUUGUCUUAAUGACUGCCAAUCAUUUGCUCCUAUCUAUGCUGACCUCUCCCUCAAGUACAACUGUACUUGAGGGCUAAACUUUGGGAAGGUGGAUAUUGGACGCUAUGUUGAUGUUAGUACACGGUACGAAGUGAGCACAUCACCCCUCACCAAACAACUCCCUACGCUGAUCCUGUUCCAAGGUGGCAAGGAGGUAAUGCAGCAGCCGCAGAUUGGCAAGAAAGGACGAGCUGUCUCAUGGAUCUUCUCUGAGGAGAAUGUGAUCCAAGAAUUUAACUUAAAUGAGCUAUGCCAGGGAGCCAAGAAGCUAUCAAAGGCUGGAGACAAUAUCCCCAAGGAGCAGCCUGUGGCCCCAAGCCCCACCAGUGUGUCAGAUGGGGAAAGCAAGAAGGACAAAUAGGAUCCUCACCUUGGCAGUGCUUCCUGUCCAUUCCAGGCUCCUUCCAUAACCACAAGCCUGAGGCUACAGCCUUUUAUUUAUGUUUUCCGUUUGGCUGUGACUGGGUAGGGCAGGGUGCUGCUUCUGAUUUUUAAAGAGGCAUCUGGGGAAUUGUCAGGCACCCUACUAGAAAGCCUGCCUUGCUGUGGGCCAACUGUUUCACUGGAGCAAGAAAGAGAUCUCAUAUGGUGGAGGAGGACAUGGUUUCCCUCCAAGAUUGGGCCAGUGUGUUAACUGCUUAUCAAUGAUUCAGACAUCUCCAUGAUUUCUCCAUGAAACUGUGGUUU